CAUGUUAAUUGAAUUAGCGGCUGGUUUUAAAAGUAUUAGCUUGGUUCCUUCAAAUUUGGUUCUACUUAGCGUGAUAAUUAUUGAACGUUAAGGACAUUCCUCUCGGGGAGUGGCCAGAAAUGCGGUAGCUGCUUCUAAUCCGUCUUCGGACAAAUUUUAUUCAUAUCUGACCUCGAAUCAGGUGGGACUACCCGCUGAACUUAAGCAUAUCAAUAAGCGGAGGAAAAGAAACUAACAAGGAUUCCCCUAGUAACGGCGAGUGAAGCGGGAUGAGCUCAAAUUUAAAAUCUGGCAGCCUUUGGUUGUCCGAGUUGUAAUCUAGAGAAGUGUUUUCCGCGCUGGACCAUGUACAAGUUUCCUGGAACGGAACGUCAUAGAGGGUGAGAAUCCCGUCCUUGACAUGGACUCCCAGUGCUAUGUGAUACACUCUCAACGAGUCGAGUUGUUUGGGAAUGCAGCUCAAAAUGGGAGGUAAAUUCCUUCUAAAGCUAAAUAUUGGCGAGAGACCGAUAGCGAACAAGUACCGUGAGGGAAAGAUGAAAAGCACUUUGGAAAGAGAGUUAAACAGUACGUGAAAUUGUUAAAAGGGAAACGAUUGAAGUCAGUCGCGUUUGCUUGGACUCAGCCUUACCUCGGUUUGGUGCAUUUCCUUGUGAACGGGCCAGCGUCAAUGUUGUCUGUCGGAAAAGGGUUAGAGGAAUGUGGCUCCCUCGGGAGUGUUAUAGACUCUAAUCGUAUACGGCGGCUGAUAUUGAGUGGUACAGCAUGCUUCGGCGGUGC
rnacentral:rRNA from 1 species